UACGUAGGGUGCAAGCGUUAAUCGGAAUUACUGGGCGUAAAGCGUGCGCAGGCGGUUUCGUAAGUCUGUCGUGAAAUCCCCGGGCUUAACCUGGGAACGGCGAUGGAGACUGCGCGGCUAGAGUUUGGCAGAGGGGGGUAGAAUUCCACGUGUAGCAGUGAAAUGCGUAGAGAUGUGGAGGAACACCGAUGGCGAAGGCAGCCCCCUGGGUCAAAACUGACGCUCAUGCACGAAAGCGUGGGGAGCAAACAGG
rnacentral:rRNA from 1 species